rnacentral:piRNA from 1 species
UCAGAUAGAAAUGUCCCAGUGUGGUAUC